UUAGAUGAGAUGUGAACCAUGACAGGUAGUUCAAUCUUUCUAAGAAACCACGAACCUCUCUUUUUUCUUUUCUCUCGGUUCAGGCGUUUCUCUUAUUAUUGUUUUUUUUUUUUUUUUUAGCAGGAACCUCGAUUCCUCUCUGACACUGAACCCCAACAUCUUACCGGAUCACACUCUGAACGUGCACUUAUCUGAAUUCAACCUCAG
rnacentral:lncRNA from 1 species